AUUGAACGCUGGCGGCAUGCUUUACACAUGCAAGUCGAGCGGUAACAGGCCGCAAGGUGCUGACGAGUGGCGAACGGGUGAGUAAUGCAUCGGAACGUGCCCAGUCGUGGGGGAUAACUACUCGAAAGAGUAGCUAAUACCGCAUACGAUCUAUGGAUGAAAGCGGGGGACCGUAAGGCCUCGCGCGAUUGGAGCGGCCGAUGUCAGAUUAGGUAGUUGGUGGGGUAAAGGCUCACCAAGCCAACGAUCUGUAGCUGGUCUGAGAGGACGACCAGCCACACUGGGACUGAGACACGGCCCAGACUCCUACGGGAGGCAGCAGUGGGGAAUUUUGGACAAUGGGCGCAAGCCUGAUCCAGCAAUGCCGCGUGCAGGAAGAAGGCCUUCGGGUUGUAAACUGCUUUUGUACGGAACGAAACGGCUCUGGUUAAUACCCGGGGCUAAUGACGGUACCGUAAGAAUAAGCACCGGCUAAUUACGUG
rnacentral:rRNA from 1 species